rnacentral:rRNA from 1 species
CCUACGGGAGGCAGCAGUGGGGAAUAUUGCUCAAUGGGCGCAACCCUGAAGCAGCCACGCCGCGUGAAGGAUGACGGUUCUCGGAUUGUUAACCUCUUUUUAUAGAGAAGAUAAUGACGGUACCUGACCCAUAAGCACCGGCUCACUUCGUGCAAGCUGCGGCGGUAAUACGCAGGGAGCCAGCGUUAUUCGGAAUUACUGGGUGUAAAGCGAGCGUAGGCGGUUUAGUAAGUCAGAUGUGAAAUCCUGGGGCUUAACCGUAGAACUGCAUUUGAAACUGUUAGUCUAGAGUACGGUAGAGGUAGGCGGAAUUCGUGGUGUAGCGGUGAAAUGCGUAGAGAUCAAGAGGAAUACCGAUUGCGAAGGCGGCCUGCUAGAAUGUAACUGACGUUGAUGCUCGAAAGCGUGGGGAGCAAACAGGAUUAGAUACCCUAGUAGUC